rnacentral:rRNA from 1 species
AACGAACGCUGGCGGCAUGCCUAAUACAUGCAAGUCGAACGAGCCCUUCGGGGUUAGUGGCGCACGGGUGCGUAACGCGUGGGAAUCUGCCCUUGGGUUCGGAAUAACGUCUGGAAACGGACGCUAAUACCGGAUGAUGACGAAAGUCCAAAGAUUUAUCGCCCAGGGAUGAGCCCGCGUAGGAUUAGCUAGUUGGUGAGGUAAAGGCUCACCAAGGCGACGAUCCUUAGCUGGUCUGAGAGGAUGAUCAGCCACACUGGGACUGAGACACGGCCCAGACUCCUACGGGAGGCAGCAGUAGGGAAUAUUGGACAAUGGGGGCAACCCUGAUCCAGCAAUGCCGCGUGAGUGAUGAAGGCCUUAGGGUUGUAAAGCUCUUUUACCCGGGAUGAUAAUGACAGUACCGGGAGAAUAAGCCCCGGCUAACUCCGUGCCAGCCGCCGCGGUAAAAC